AAUAAACGCUGGCGGCGCACAUAAGACAUGCAAGUCGAACGAAAGUCGUUUUAUGGAUUCUAAUACCAAAGUGGAUUUAUUCAUAGAGGUAGAAGAUGAAAUAAAACAAUGGCUUUAGUGGCGGACUGGUGAGUAACACAUAAGCAAUCUGCCUAUUAGAGGGGAACAACAAUGAGAAAUCAUUGCUAAUACCGCAUACUCUGUUUUUAUCGCAUGAUGGAAACAGGAAAGGAGAAAUCCGCUAAUAGAUGAGCUUAUGGCUGAUUAGCUAGUUGGUAAGGUAGAGGCUUACCAAGGCGACGAUCAGUAGCCGAACUGAGAGGUUGAACGGCCACAUUGGGACUGAGAUACGGCCCAGACUCCUACGGGAGGCAGCAGUCGGGAAUAUUGCGCAAUGGAGGAAACUCUGACGCAGUGACGCCGCGUAUAGGAAGAAGGUUUUCGGAUUGUAAACUAUUGUCAUUAGGGAAGAUAAAAGACAGUACCUAAGGAGGAAGCUCCGGCUAACUAUGUGCCAGCAGCCGCUGUAAAAC
rnacentral:rRNA from 1 species